rnacentral:rRNA from 1 species
AGGCUUAACACAUGCAAGUCGAGGGGCAGCAUGGUCUUAGCUUGCUAAGGCCGAUGGCGACCGGCGCACGGGUGAGUAACGCGUAUCCAACCUGCCUUACACUCUUGGACAGCCUUCUGAGAGGGAGAUUAAUACAAGAUGUUAUCAUGAGUAAGCAUUUUCGCAUGAUUAAAGGUUUACCGGUGUAAGAUGGGGAUGCGUUCCAUUAGAUAGUAGGCGGGGUAACGGCCCACCUAGUCUUCGAUGGAUAGGGGUUCUGAGAGGGAGGUCCCCCACAUUGGAACUGAGACACGGUCCAAACUCCUACGGGAGGCAGCAGUGAGGAAUAUUGGUCAAUGGACGAGAGUCUGAACCAGCCAAGUAGCGUGAAGGAUGAAGGUUCUAUGGAUUGUAAACUUCUUUUAUACGGGAAUAAACGAAUCCACGCGUGGAUUUUUGCAUGUACCGUAUGAAUAAGGAUCGGCUAACUCCGUGCCAGCAGCCGCGGUAAUACGGAGGAUCCGAGCGUUAUCCGGAUUUAUUGGGUUUAAAGGGAGCGUAGAUGGGUUGUUAAGUCAGUUGUGAAAGUUUGCGGCUCAACCGUAAAAUUGCAAUUGAUACUGGCAGUCUUGAGUACAGUUGAGGUAGGCGGAAUUCGUGGUGUAGCGGUGAAAUGCUUAGAUAUCACGAAGAACUCCGAUUGCGAAGGCAGCUUACUAACCUGUAACUGACAUUGAUGCUCGAAAGUGUGGGUAUCAAACAGGAUUAGAUACCCUGGUAGUCCACACGGUAAACGAUGAAUACUCGCUGUAGGCGAUAUACAGUCUGCGGCCAAGCGAAAGCAUUAAGUAUUCCACCUGGGGAGUACGCCGGCAACGGUGAAACUCAAAGGAAUUGACGGGGGCCCGCACAAGCGGAGGAACAUGUGGUUUAAUUCGAUGAUACGCGAGGAACCUUACCCGGGCUUAAAUUGCAACCGAAUAUGGCGGAAACGCUAUAGCUAGCAAUAGCGGUUGUGAAGGUGCUGCAUGGUUGUCGUCAGCUCGUGCCGUGAGGUGUCGGCUUAAGUGCCAUAACGAGCGCAACCCUUGCCGAUAGUUACUAACAGGUCAUGCUGAGGACUCUGUCGGGACUGCCAUCGUAAGAUGUGAGGAAGGUGGGGAUGACGUCAAAUCAGCACGGCCCUUACGUCCGGGGCUACACACGUGUUACAAUGGGGGGUACAGAGGGCUGCUACCACGCAAGUGGAUGCCAAUCCCAAAAACCUCUCUCAGUUCGGAUUGAAGUCUGCAACCCGACUUCAUGAAGCUGGAUUCGCUAGUAAUCGCGCAUCAGCCACGGCGCGGUGAAUACGUUCCCGGGCCUUGUACACACCGCCCGUCAAGCCAUGGGAGCCGGGGGUACCUGAAGUGCGUAACCGCAAGGAGCGCCCUAGGGUAAAACUGGUGACUGGGGCUAAAUC